rnacentral:rRNA from 1 species
GAUGAACGCUGGCGGCGUGCCUAAUACAUGCAAGUCGAGCGAACAGACGAGGAGCUUGCUCCUCUGACGUUAGCGGCGGACGGGUGAGUAACACGUGGAUAACCUACCUAUAAGACUGGGAUAACUUCGGGAAACCGGAGCUAAUACCGGAUAAUAUAUUGAACCGCAUGGUUCAAUAGUGAAAGACGGUUUUGCUGUCACUUAUAGAUGGAUCCGCGCCGCAUUAGCUAGUUGGUAAGGUAACGGCUUACCAAGGCAACGAUGCGUAGCCGACCUGAGAGGGGGGUAGGCCACACUGGAACUGGGACACGGUCCAGACUCCUACGGGAGGCCGCAGUAGGGAAUCUUCCGCAAUGGGGGAAAGCCUGACGGGGCAACGCCGCGGGAGUGAUGAAGGUCUUCGGAUCGUAAAACUCUGUUUUUAGGGAAAAACAAAUGUGUAAGUAACUAUGCACGUCUUGACGGUACCUAAUCAGAAAGCCACGGCUAACUACGUG